CGAAGUCAACACGAAGUCCUGCCCAAACAGCAAGCGGCAUACACGCAAGCAAUCGGCUACACUCACACACACAUACACAGGCGUGCGCACACUCUCACGAGCGUGUGUACAGCGUAGAAAACGAACGAAACGAAACGAAGCGAAAGGCAGGCAGCGGCCUAACAGAGGCAGCUAACAGACAGCAGUUGGUUGUCCGUUCUGUUCUCUAUGUGUGGUUGUAAAAAGGCGAAAACGUCACGAGAAAAACCGGUUAAUAAAUUAUUGCCAUUUGAAUGGGAAAUGUACGGAAACUUUACAAAACAAAACAGGACCACAACAGAUGCAAAUAUUGAUCAUACUGAAUAGAAUCGAACUGAUUGAUGACCGGCGGCAAAGGAUUUCAUCGUUUUCUCUGAAGGACAACGGAGGCACUAAAAACCCAAAAGCCUGAUUCAGAAUCUCGCACGCUUCCAAGAUAUUUAUCAAAUAAUGCAUAAAGCAACGAGAAAAAUUUUAAUAGAAUUUCAGAA